rnacentral:rRNA from 1 species
UACGUAGGGUGCGAGCGUUGUCCGGAAUUAUUGGGCGUAAAGAGCUUGUAGGCGGUUUGUCGCGUCUGCUGUGAAAAUCCGGGGCUCAACCCCGGACUUGCAGUGGGUACGGGCAGACUAGAGUGUGGUAGGGGAGACUGGAAUUCCUGGUGUAGCGGUGAAAUGCGCAGAUAUCAGGAGGAACACCGAUGGCGAAGGCAGGUCUCUGGGCCACUACUGACGCUGAGGCACGAAAGCAUGGGGAGCGAACGGG